GUAGACGUUAGCUCAGUGGUUAGAGCACAGGCCUCUGGCUCUCGGGUACACGAGUUCGAGUCCCGUCGUCUACU
rnacentral:tRNA from 1 species